rnacentral:rRNA from 1 species
UACAGAGGGUGCAAGCGUUAAUCGGAAUUACUGGGCGUAAAGCGCGCGUAGGUGGUUUGUUAAGUUGGAUGUGAAAGCCCCGGGCUCAACCUGGGAACUGCAUCCAAAACUGGCAAGCUAGAGUACGGUAGAGGGUGGUGGAAUUUCCUGUGUAGCGGUGAAAUGCGUAGAUAUAGGAAGGAACACCAGUGGCGAAGGCGACCACCUGGACUGAUACUGACACUGAGAGACGAAAGCUAGGGGAGCAAAUGGG